rnacentral:rRNA from 1 species
UGGGGAAUAUUGGACAAUGGGCGCAAGCCUGAUCCAGCCAUGCCGCGUGAGUGAUGAAGGCCCUAGGGUUGUAAAGCUCUUUCACCGGUGAAGAUAAUGACGGUAACCGGAGAAGAAGCCCCGGCUAAUUUCGUGCCAGCAGCCGCGGUAAUACGAAGGGGGCUAGCGUUGUUCGGAUUUACUGGGCGUAAAGCGCACGUAGGCGGACUUUUAAGUCAGGGGUGAAAUCCCGGGGCUCCACCCCGGAACUGCCUUUGAUACUGGAAGUCUUGAGUAUGGUAGAGGUGAGUGGAAUUCCGAGUGUAGAGGUGAAAUUCGUAGAUAUUCGGAGGAACACCAGUGGCGAAGGCGGCUCACUGGACCAUUACUGACGCUGAGGUGCGAAAGCGUGGGGAGCAAACAGG